GACGAACGCUGGCGGCGUGCCUAAUACAUGCAAGUCGAACGAACUCUGGUAUUGAUUGGUGCUUGCAUCAUGAUUUACAUUUGAGUGAGUGGCGAACUGGUGAGUAACACGUGGGAAACCUGCCCAGAAGCGGGGGAUAACACCUGGAAACAGAUGCUAAUACCGCAUAACAACUUGGACCGCAUGGUCCGAGCUUGAAAGAUGGCUUCGGCUAUCACUUUUGGAUGGUCCCGCGGCGUAUUAGCUAGAUGGUGGGGUAACGGCUCACCAUGGCAAUGAUACGUAGCCGACCUGAGAGGGUAAUCGGCCACAUUGGGACUGAGACACGGCCCAAACUCCUACGGGAGGCAGCAGUAGGGAAUCUUCCACAAUGGACGAAAGUCUGAUGGAGCAACGCCGCGUGAGUGAAGAAGGGUUUCGGCUCGUAAAACUCUGUUGUUAAAGAAGAACAUAUCUGAGAGUAACUGUUCAGGUAUUGACGGUAUUUAACCAGAAAGCCACGGCUAACUACGUGCCAGCAGCCGCGGUAAUACGUAGGUGGCAAGCGUUGUCCGGAUUUAUUGGGCGUAAAGCGAGCGCAGGCGGUUUUUUAAGUCUGAUGUGAAAGCCUUCGGCUCAACCGAAGAAGUGCAUCGGAAACUGGGAAACUUGAGUGCAGAAGAGGACAGUGGAACUCCAUGUGUAGCGGUGAAAUGCGUAGAUAUAUGGAAGAACACCAGUGGCGAAGGCGGCUGUCUGGUCUGUAACUGACGCUGAGGCUCGAAAGUAUGGGUAGCAAACAGGAUUAGAUACCCUGGUAGUCCAUACCGUAAACGAUGAAUGCUAAGUGUUGGAGGGUUUCCGCCCUUCAGUGCUGCAGCUAACGCAUUAAGCAUUCCGCCUGGGAGUACGGCCGCAAGGCUGAAACUCAAAGGAAUUGACGGGGGCCCGCACAAGCGGUGGAGCAUGUGGUUUAAUUCGAAGCUACGCGAAGAACCUUACCAGGUCUUGACAUACUAUGCAAAUCUAAGAGAUUAGACGUUCCCUUCGGGGACAUGGAUACAGGUGGUGCAUGGUUGUCGUCAGCUCGUGUCGUGAGAUGUUGGGUUAAGUCCCGCAACGAGCGCAACCCUUAUUAUCAGUUGCCAGCAUUAAGUUGGGCACUCUGGUGAGACUGCCGGUGACAAACCGGAGGAAGGUGGGGAUGACGUCAAAUCAUCAUGCCCCUUAUGACCUGGGCUACACACGUGCUACAAUGGAUGGUACAACGAGUUGCGAACUCGCGAGAGUAAGCUAAUCUCUUAAAGCCAUUCUCAGUUCGGAUUGUAGGCUGCAACUCGCCUACAUGAAGUCGGAAUCGCUAGUAAUCGCGGAUCAGCAUGCCGCGGUGAAUACGUUCCCGGGCCUUGUACACACCGCCCGUCACACCAUGAGAGUUUGUAACACCCAAAGUCGGUGGGGUAACCUUUUAGGAACCAGCCGCCUAAGGUGGGACAGAUGAUUAGGGUG
rnacentral:rRNA from 1 species